rnacentral:rRNA from 1 species
GACGAACGCUGGCGGCGUGCCUAAUACAUGCAAGUCGAGCGAAUCUCGAGGAGCUUGCUCCUUGAGGUUAGCGGCGGACGGGUGAGUAACACGUGGGCAACCUGCCUGUAAGACUGGGAUAACACCGGGAAACCGGUGCUAAUACCGGAUAAUUCUUUCCCUCACAUGAGGGAAAGCUGAAAGUUGGUUUCGGCUGACACUUACAGAUGGGCCCGCGGCGCAUUAGCUAGUUGGUGAGGUAACGGCUCACAAAGGCGACGAUGCGAAGCCGACCCGAGAGGGGGAUCGGCCACUCUGGGAGUGAGACACGGCACAGACUUCUACGGGAGACAGCAGUGAGGAAUAUUCGUCGAUGGGGGAAAGCGUGAACGAGCAAUUCCGCGUGAAUGCUGACGGUCCUAUGGAUUGUAAAAGUCUGUUGUUAGGGAAGAACGACGUGUAUAGGAAAUGAUACAGGAGUGACGGUACCUUUCAAGAAAGCUCCGGCUAACUACGUGCCAGCCGCCGCGGUAA